rnacentral:rRNA from 1 species
UACGUAGGGGGCAAGCGUUGUCCGGAUUUAUUGGGCGUAAAGCGCGGGCAGGCGGCCCCGUAAGUCGGCCGUGAAAGCGCCGGGCUCAACUCGGCGAGGACGGGCGAGACUGCGGGGCUCGAGCAAGGCAGAGGGCGGUGGAAUUCCGGGUGUAGUGGUGGAAUGCGCAGAGCUCCGGAGGAACACCAGUGGCGAAGGCGGCCGCCUGGGCCUUUGCUGACGCUGAGCCGCGAAAGCGUGGGGAGCGAGCCGG